rnacentral:rRNA from 1 species
UACAGAGGAGGCAAGCGUUGUUCGGAAUCACUGGGCUUAAAGCGCGUGUAGGUGGUUUAGCAAGUACUUUGUGAAAUACCUGAGCUUAACUUGGGAAUUGCUUGGUAUACUGCUGGACUUGAGGCAGAUAGGGGUGCCUGGAACUCUAGGUGGAGCGGUGAAAUGCGUAGAUAUCUAGGGGAACGCCAGAGGCGAAAGCGGGGCACUGGGUCUGACCUGACACUGAGACGCGAAAGCGUAGGGAGCAAACGGG